AGAAAAGUAGUUAACUACCUCUGGUUUCUUCACGUUUGUGGACUGGAAAGUUCAGCUCUCUCUCCCUCUCGAAUCCGUGGCUAACUGAGCUAGAGUUUCCUUGUUUUCUUGGUUGACGUUUACGGUUGAAGGGAUGAAGGAAGUGCCUAAUUCUCUUGAUGUUUCUUUUCUGUUUUAAUAGGUUAAGGAAGAAAGAAAGAUUAUGUUUCUUUUACUCUUCCUCUCGGUCAAAUGGAAGGCUACUGACACGUACUAGUUUCUCACAGUUUCUUGGCUGAAACAAUUUUCUGCUCCUACCCGAUGUUCUAACUACUGAGUCGGUGUUUCCUUGCUGCCUAGUUAAAGCUCAGAAAUUGCAGGGAA
rnacentral:lncRNA from 1 species